rnacentral:rRNA from 1 species
GGAUAACCUACCCUUAGGACCGGGAUAACCCUGGGAAACUGGGGCUAAUACUGGAUAGGCAAUUAUUCCUGCAAUGGUUUUUUGUUUAAAUGUUUUUUCGCCUAAGGAUGGGUCUGCGGCCGAUUAGGUAGUUGGUUAGGUAAUGGCUUACCAAGCCGUUGAUCGGUACGGGUUGUGAGAGCAAGAGCCCGGAGAUGGAACCUGAGACAAGGUUCCAGGCCCUACGGGGUGCAGCAGGCGCGAAACCUCCGCAAUGUGAGAAAUCGCGACGGGGGGAUCCCAAGUGCCAUUCUUAACGGGAUGGCUUUUCAUUAGUGUAAAGAGCUUUUGGAAUAAGAGCUGGGCAAGACCGGUGCCAGCCGCCGCGGUAACACCGGCAGCUCUAGUGGUAACAAUUUUUAUUGGGCCUAAAGCGUCCGUAGCCGGUUUAAUAAGUCUCUGGUGAAAUCCUGUAGCUUAACCGUGGGAAUUGCUGGAGAUACUAUUAGACUUGAGACCGGGAGAGGUUAGAGGUACUCCCAGGGUAGAGGUGAAAUUCUGUAAUCCUGGGAGGACCGCCUGUUGCGAAGGCGCCUAACUGGAACGGUUCUGACGGUGAGGGACGAAAGUUAGGGGCGCGAACCGGAUUAGAUACCCGGGUAGUCCUAACUGUAAACGAUGCGGACUUGGUGUUGGGGUGGCUUUGAGCUGCUCCAGUGCCGAAGGGAAGCUGUUAAGUCCGCCGCCUGGGAAGUACGGUCGCAAGACUGAAACUUAA